rnacentral:rRNA from 1 species
UACGUAGGGUGCGAGCGUUAAUCGGAAUUACUGGGCGUAAAGCGUGCGCAGGCGGUUCGUUGUGUCGGCGGUGAAAGCCCCGGGCUUAACCUGGGAAUGGCCGUCUAAACUGGCGAACUGGAGUGUGGCAGAGGGGGGUGGAAUUCCGCGUGUAGCAGUGAAAUGCGUAGAGAUGCGGAGGAACACCGAUGGCGAAGGCAGCCCCCUGGGCUGACACUGACGCUCAGGCACGAAAGCGUGGGGAGCAAACAGG